CAUUAUCGAUUUUCCCGGUGGACACAAGGCCUUUGAAAUAUGUGCUAAAUUCUGCUACGGAAUGACAGUCACUCUCAACGCAUACAAUGUCGUAGCUGCUCGAUGUGCAGCUGAGUACCUUGAGAUGACUGAGGAUGUCGAUUCAGGGAACCUGAUUUUCAAGAUUGAGGUGUUCCUCAACUCGAGCAUUUUCCGGAGCUGGAAAGAUUCUAUCAUUGUUCUUCAGACCACCAAGGCUCUAUUGCCCUGGUCUGAUGAGUUGAAGAUUGUUGGGAGAUGCAUUGAUUCCAUUGCAUCCAAGACUUCCAUUGACCCUUCCACUAUCACUUGGUCUUAUACUUACAAUAGGAAGCUGAAUGAUGCAGACAAUGAGAUACUACUAGAAGAUGAUGAUGACGUGCAUCGCAAGUUUCGAAAGAGAAACGGUCAUCAUCAUGGUGUUCCAAAGGAUUGGUGGGUUGAAGAUGCAUGUGAGCUGGAAAUUGACCUCUACAAGAGAGUAAUUCUUGCUGUCAAAUCGAAGGGUAGAAUGGACUGUAUGGUGAUGGGAGAGGCUCUUAAAUGUUAUGCUCUUCGAUGGCUUCCUGAUUCCUUAGAUGACUUGACUUGCGACGCAAGUAACUCGUGGCAUAAGUAUCUGGUGGAAACACUAAUCCAUCUUCUGCCCGCUGAAAAGGCUGGUGGUGGCUGUUCUUGUAGUUUCUUACUCAAAUUGUUGAAAGUCGCCAUCUUUGCUGGAGUUAAUGAUACCCUCAAGGAAGAUCUAGUGAAGAGGGCUGGUCUGAAGUUGCAGGAGGCUUCUGUUGAGGAUCUGUUGAUCCCGGCACAGUCGCCUCAGUCUACUACAAAGUACGAUGUUGAGUUGGUGAAGAGCCUUGUCAAUGAAUUCCUGACGAACGAAAAGCAUUUUGAGGAGUCGAGCAUUGAGAAGAAUGGUGGGGAAGUAGAAAGAUUCCUUUUCCCACCUGAGCAUAGGUCCUUGAUGCAUGUUGGCCAACUGAUUGAUGGCUACCUGGCUGAGAUUGCUCAUGAUGCCAAUGUUGGCCUCGAAAGCUUCAUGGACCUUUCUCGAUCUGUUCCGGAGCCUGCAAGGCCGAUUCAUGAUGGUCUUUACAUGGCGAUUGACAUCUACCUCAAGGCAAGCUAAUACUAUUAUAAUUGGUUACAUAACUUAGUAACUGGUUAUAAUCACAUGUAACUAGUUAUGAUAGGUUGUAACUGAUUAUAAUCCUAUUAUGUUCAUUUUUCCUUUCCAAAGUUAAAAAGUAAUUCAUGUGCUUACCCAUAAAAGGCGUUUCUUAUUAUUAUUAUUAUCAUUCAGGAGCAUCCAGGGUUGAGUAAGGUUGAAAGAAAGAAGAUGUGCAGCAUGUUGGAUGUUAAGAAGCUGACAAUGAAUGCUUCAAUGCACGCAGCACAAAAUGAGAGUCUCCCGCUUCGUUUGGUUGUACAAGUUCUCUUCUUUGAGCAGGUCAGAGCAGCAGCAGCAGCAGCUAAUGGUCAAAGCCUCAACCACAACCUGAAUUACACUUCGAAUGCGACGAAAAACACAGAGGAAGGUUGCGAAGUCCUGGAGAAGCAAAUGAGCGUGAAAUUGAAGGUAGCAACUGUUGAGGCUGAGGAGGAGGAAGAGGAGGAGCAGAGGAAUAUGAGGCUGAUGAAGAAAAACAGCAGCAAGAAUAGCAAAAGUGGAUUGCAGUUGCUACCAUCUCGUUCAAGGAGAAUAUUUGACAAGUUGUGGGGUGUUGGGAGGGGAGGGCAUGUAGUAGAGAGCAAGAGCUCUGAGACAUCUGGCAGCUCAGAGCUGAAUGUGCAUUCAUUCAUUGUCCUUUAUUUGGUGGAUAUAUUAAAUUUUGCUACCUCUUUUUCUGGAAAUUAUGACACGUGUGCUCUUCUUACAUGUAGGUAUGUUCCAUCCGAGCUGGCUACAGAUGUCACCAUUAAUGUUGGUGAAGUUAAAUUUUACCUCCACAAGGUAACUUCUUCAGUGCUUCUUCAAUAGCUGCUGAUAUGUUUGAAAUUCCGCCUUUUUAGAGUAGUUAGGACACAAGGCCUUUGAAAUAUGUGCUAAAUUCUGCUACGGAAUGACAGUCACUCUCAACGCAUACAAUGUCGUAGCUGCUCGAUGUGCAGCUGAGUACCUUGAGAUGACUGAGGAUGUCGAUUCAGGGAACCUGAUUUUCAAGAUUGAGGUGUUCCUCAACUCGAGCAUUUUCCGGAGCUGGAAAGAUUCUAUCAUUGUUCUUCAGACCACCAAGGCUCUAUUGCCCUGGUCUGAUGAGUUGAAGAUUGUUGG
rnacentral:lncRNA from 1 species